rnacentral:rRNA from 1 species
ACUCCUACGGGAGGCAGCAGUGGGGAAUAUUGCACAAUGGGCGCAAGCCUGAUGCAGCCAUGCCGCGUGUAUGAAGAAGGCCUUCGGGUUGAUAAAGUACUUUCAGCAGUGAGGAAGGGGUGACGUUAAUAGCGUGCUCUUUGAUCGUUAGCUGCAGAAGAAGCACCGGCUAACUCCGUGCCAGCAGCCGCGGUAAUACGGAGGGUGCGAGCGUUAAUCGGAAUUACUGGGCGUAAAGCGCAUGCAGGUGGUUUGUUAAGUCAGAUGUGAAAGCCCGGGGCUUAACCUCGGAA